rnacentral:misc_RNA from 1 species
UCCGCCUGCAUUGGGCUGUCGGCUUCUUUGCCGCAGCCUUCAGGUGUGCUGUUCGGAGUGCUUGAAUCGCGACUCUUGGGAUUAGUUUCCUGGGUCGGUCUUGAGCGCCGGUCGGCACGGCGUGGGACUCAACUGUUUGUCCCUUCUGCGUCUUUCAAACCU